rnacentral:sRNA from 1 species
AUAGCGCACCGACCGGGAGGGUGAGAACCCUCGACAGGGUUCGACAAAACGCCCGCGUUUUGGACCGCCAAGGCGGCCGCAGGGUGAACGCAGCGAAUCAAUCCCUCCCUCACCGCCA